rnacentral:piRNA from 1 species
UUGAAGCAACUCUAGGUGAAAGAUG